rnacentral:tRNA from 2 species
UCCGCCAUGGUGUAAUGGCAGCACGGCAGCCUUUGGAGCUGCCUGUCUAGGUUCGAAUCCUGGUGGCGGAG